rnacentral:rRNA from 1 species
AGAUUGAACGCUGGCGGCAGGCCUAACACAUGCAAGUCGAGCGGCAGCACGGGUACUUGUACCUGGUGGCGAGCGGCGGACGGGUGAGUAAUGCCUAGGAAUCUGCCUGGUAGUGGGGGAUAACGCUCGGAAACGGACGCUAAUACCGCAUACGUCCUACGGGAGAAAGCAGGGGACCUUCGGGCCUUGCGCUAUCAGAUGAGCCUAGGUCGGAUUAGCUAGUUGGUGGGGUAAUGGCUCACCAAGGCGACGAUCCGUAACUGGUCUGAGAGGAUGAUCAGUCACACUGGAACUGAGACACGGUCCAGACU